AUUGAACGCUGGCGGCAGGCCUAACACAUGCAAGUCGAACGAGUGGCGGACGGGUGAGUAAUGUCGGGGAAACCGUCUUAUGGAGGGGGAUCACUACUGGAAACGGUAGCUAAUACCGCAUACCCUCAGAUGUGCCCAGAUGGGAUGAGCUUGUUGGUGGGGUAACGGCUCACCAAGGCGACGAUCCCUAGCUGGUCUGAGAGGAUGACCAGCCACACUGGAACUGAGACACGGUCCAGACUCCUACGGGAGGCAGCAGUGGGGAAUAUUGCACAAUGGGCGCAAGCCUGAUGCAGCCAUGCCGCGUGUAUGAAGAAGGCCUUCGGGUUGUAAAGUACUUUCAGCGGGGAGGCGUUACCCGCAGAAGAAGCACCGGCUAACUCCGUGCCAGCAGCCGCGGUAAUUC
rnacentral:rRNA from 1 species